GGGGUUGUUGCUCAGUGGUAGAGCACUUGCCUAGCAUGUGUGAGGCACUGGGUUCGAUCCCCAGCACCACA
rnacentral:tRNA from 1 species